rnacentral:antisense_RNA from 1 species
GGAAAUUCCCACUGACGUCGAGAGAGCAUACAGACAGACGGACACACGCGCGCACGCAGCGGGGGCGGGAGGUGGGGUCGCUGCCGGGGGUGGGGGAAGCCCGCACUUCUAGGGGCGCUGUGCGCCCCCGGCCCGGCCUCGCCGCUCGCCUCGGCUCCCGCCCCUCGGGGCCGCUUCGGGGCGCCGGGCGAAGGGCGCGCGUUAGGCGGCCUGGACGCCGCGGCCCCUGCGGGGCUCUGGCUUCCUAGCAGGGCGCUCCCGAAUCCCAAGCGCUAGAGCCGGUAGGGACGCCCCCAGGAAGCGCCUGCCGGGCCCAAUGGUCGGGGAACGCAGGCAGCGCGGAGGCGGCGGCGGUGCCGCUGAUAGAGUCAUGCGGUCCAUAGCCCCUAAGGGCAGGCCGGAGCAGCUGGAGGGUCGGCAUGGAUCCAAACAUGCCAGAUAUAAAAAUAUAGCUCAUCUGUAUAUUCCA